rnacentral:pre_miRNA from 1 species
CUUUCCUGCCCUCGAGGAGCUCACAGUCUAGUAUGUCUUCUUCCUACUAGACUGAGGCUCCUUGAGGACAGGGAUC